rnacentral:misc_RNA from 1 species
UUUCCGUAGGUGAACCUGCGGAAGGAUCAUUAUUGAAUAAACAGUGUGGGUUGUUGCUGGCCUUCUGGCAUGUGCACGCCUGCCAUAUGUUUCAUUCCCUUCUUUCCACCUGUGCACUAUGUGUAGGCUAUGUAUGCUGUAUUGUCAGGCCCUUCAUAAGGCUUGGUUUGGAGAGGAUGCUUGUCUUUAUGAGACAGGCUCAUCUUGGGCGUACAGGUCUAUGUUUUACACCAACACCAAAUGAAUGUCUUAGAAUGUAUUUUUUCAGGCUCUUGCUAGCCUUUAAACCAUAUACAACUUUCAACAACGGAUCUCUUGGCUCUC